rnacentral:rRNA from 1 species
UACGUAGGGUGCGAGCGUUAAUCGGAAUUACUGGGCGUAAAGCGUGCGCAGGCGGUUUUGUAAGUCUGACGUGAAAUCCCCGGGCUCAACCUGGGAAUUGCGAUGGUGACUGCAAGGCUAGAGUUUGGCAGAGGGGGGGUAGAAUUCCACGUGUAGCAGUGAAAUGCGUAGAGAUGUGGAGGAACACCGAUGGCGAAGGCAGCCCCCUGGGUCAAGACUGACGCUCAUGCACGAAAGCGUGGGGGAGCAAACAGG